rnacentral:rRNA from 1 species
AACGAACGCUGGCGGCGUGGAUAAGACAUGCAAGUCGAGCGAUUAUUACGAGGUAGCAAUAUUUCGUAGUGAGAGCGGCGCAAGGGUGCGUAACACGUGGGUAAUCUGCCAUGAAGUUUGGGAUAACUUGCUGAAAGGCGAGCUAAUACCGGAUGUGACCCGGGGGAGGCAUCUUCUCUUGGUUAAAGUUGGGGACCGUAAGGCCUGACGCUUCAUGAUGAGCCCGCGGCCUAUCAGCUAGUUGGUGAGGUAACGGCUCACCAAGGCUAAGACGGGUAGCUGGUCUGAGAGGACGACCAGCCACACUGGAACUGAGACACGGUCCAGACACCUACGGGUGGCAGCAGUCGAGAAUUUUUCACAAUGGGCGCAAGCCUGAUGGAGCGACGCCGCGUGGGGGAUGAAUGGCUUCGGCCCGUAAACCCCUGUCAUUUGCGAUCAAACCUCGUUAUUUAAAAGAUGACGAGCUGAUGGUAGCGAAAGAGGAAGGGACGGCUAACUCUGUGCCAGCAGCCGCGGUAAUACAGAGGUCCCAAGCGUUGUUCGGAUUCACUGGGCGUAAAGGGUGCGUAGGUGGUGGGGUAAGUCGGAUGUGAAAGCUCGGAGCUCAACUCCGAAAUGGCAUUGGAAACUGCCCUGCUAGAGGGUCGGAGGGGGGACUGGAAUACUUGGUGUAGCAGUGAAAUGCGUAGAUAUCAAGUGGAACACCAGUGGCGAAGGCGAGUCCCUGGACGACUCCUGACACUGAGGCACGAAAGCUAGGGGAGCAAACAGGAUUAGAUACCCUGGUAGUCCUAGCCGUAAACGGUGCACGUUUGCUGUAAAAGGAAUCGACCCCUUUUGUGGCGUAGCCAACGCGUUAAACGUGCCGCCUGGGAAGUACGGUCGCAAGAUUA